GCUCCCGCGCUAGCUUCUGCUCACAAUUCUCUCUUGUAGUCCAGGUUGAUGAGCUAAUACGUAUUGAUGACUGAGCAAGUUUAGGAACACGAUAGUAGGGAUGCAGUUGUAUAAUCAAUCGUUUCUGCAAGACUUCAGGGUAUUGCGGAGGAGCUAUUUAGCUUGAUGCUACUUUACUGUUUUUAUGUUCUGCACUUUCUGUCAUCAAGAUCAUAUAUUGGACCUGUGAGUCUGAAUUAGUUCAGGAUAUUAUUUAAUGGCCCUGCGUCGCUAUGAAACUCCAGGG